rnacentral:lncRNA from 1 species
UCUGGGCACUUUCCCCACCCCUCCUUUCUGAAAAGGCAACACGGGAGUCAGUGCAGAGACCAGGACGGGGCUGGCCUAGCUUUGGGGCGCUGAUGGACUUACUGACUGCAUGUCCUUGGGUACUAAUUGAUCUGCGAACCACAGC